CUCUUCGAGACCCCACCAUGGACUGCAGCCUACCAGGCUCCUCCGUCCAUGGGAUUUUCCAGGCAAGAGUACUGGAGUGGGGUGCCAUUGCCUUCUCCGUUACUUUUGAUAGAUAGAUAGAAAAUUAGCACUGACUUUGCCCAGGGCCGCCGGUCUCUCCCGUCUGGCUCAUCCAUGUCCUGUGUCUAAUGUGAGGAAAGUUGGACCAGAUAACUCAGGGAUACCUUAGGUCCUUAGCAGUUCAAAUGUUUCACUUAAAACCCUUGGGUUUAUUGUCAGUGCAGUUCUCUGGGUCUUGUUUCAUUUCCUUUUUUAUUGUAAGAAUGCGUGUGCUCUGGCACGUUCACCCCCUCACUCCUGUCGGUAUCACAUUGUCAAGGGCAUCAAAUGGAGACACACCAGGAACCUGGAAAGCGCGUCUUCUCAGUGACCUCUCACCUCAGGCACAGGCUGGAAGAGGGUCAGGCCUGGAGAAGCUGAAGCUCUCAGAAGAGCAGGAGAGAGCAGCCUUCAGGGAGGAAGCCUGUCACGUGGUGGAAUUAAAGGCGGGUUCUUUACCUCCAGUGCCACUUGGGAAGCCAGUCCCCAAAGGAAGAGGGUGCUGUUAACAGGAAAGAAGGAGUGCUGAGAGACCAAAAUGAACAGAUGCCUGAAAAAUGUUCAAUUAAAAACUGUCCCUCUCCAGGUGCCCCCAGCACUGCAGCAUCCGGAGGCCUGUGCUACUCUGGGGUCUUUGCCAGUCCAGCCAGGGAGAUGCUGAAGUUACGAUAGGGUGCUGUGCUCAUCCCUGUGGUGACUUCUGCCAUCAUUCGCGUGUUUAUCAGUCAGCCUUAAGGCCAGUCAGCUGAUGAGGGCACGGAAGUGGCAAUGUAGCUGCAAAGCUGUUAAACGAUGCAAAAUGAUGGUUGCCUGUGAACUUGCUCCAAGACUAACCAACUGAAAGCUCCGGGUCCUCCAGGACUGACACGGGAAUGGUGGGUGAUGUUUUAGAAACGGAUCUGCACGUGGGAUCAGUUUGCCCUACUGGACAUUUCCCUUUUGGUCUUCAAGCUGAUGGCGCAUCCGCCACUUUUCAGAUAAUUUGCCCUCUAAAUGGUUGCAGUAAGCAGGGCUGCAGACCCUAGUUGGUACAUGCAGAGCAUUUCAUGAAACUUAGGGGGAAAUGGCUUCAGACCCUCACUCAAAGUGGAAUCCAGCAGGACAAGGACAGGACACACGGAUCCGCCUUGAUACCAGUGUCCUGGAAUGCAGGCUCAGGCAGCCCGCGCGAGAGAAGGAGAGGCCAUCCACUGCAGAAACAGACCCGGCAACACACAGCAGCUGCGCUGCGAUGAGCUGGCGAGGGGCUCUAGAGCCUUCUUCUGUCUGGUGGGGCUCGGCGGGGAGAGUCCCUGCUGCAGGUGACUCUGCGGGUCCUGGCUGACGGGCGCCUCACACGUGGGGGCUGUCAGGUCCACACCGGAAGUCCAAGCAGAAGGCUCCGUUUGUCUUUGUAUCUGGAAAGCAGAACUUUUCCAGGUUAUGGAAAGAAAAGCUGGGGUUCCCUGUACUUAAACUGUGAGGGAGCUAGCUCCACUUGAUGCAGCUGAGGUGCGUGCUCACUGCCCUACCUUUGAACUUAUCACCGCUGACCACCACCAUCUCUCAUCUUGAGUUUUAAGACUCUAGAUUGGUUGCAUACUGUCUUAGGUACUCCCUUCUUUUGUGUAACGCAGGGUGGAGCCCGACCACAUACAGUCAUCUUCAAAAUCAAGAGCUGCAUAUGUUACUGUCCUUCCUACUAUGUCAUGUUACCAUGGGAGUUAGAGACCAGGGGGUCCUUGCCCCCAAGUAGUAAGAAAGUCCAAAUCUGCUUUAUUAGCCAUAUCUCCCCCUGUGCCAUUUCUUCUUUUGGAUCCUUGCUUGUGCAGUAAAAGAUGGCUUUUCUUAAACUCUGCUGCUGCCUCUCGUUCCUCCUGUUGAACCUGUCCAAUCUCCUCUGUUGGCUCUUCUCUCCAGCCCCGCCAUGGUGUUAAAGGAAUAUUAGAACAAGAGAGCAAGACGGUCUGAGCCCAGUCCUGCUGCCACAGACGAUGCGAGCCCAGCUGCCUCUUUAGGACUGAGGGGCUCCUUUCACCAAAUGCCGGGAAUGCUGGCUGCCGCUGGCUCUCAGCUGUGUCCACCUUCGGUGGAAGGGAGCUGCCUUCCUUGCCUGUGGCUCAGGGGCGGCCCACCUCUGGAACCUGGCCCACAUGGGGGUACAAAGGCCACUGGAGUGGGCUGCCAUGUCUUCCUCCAGCGGAUCCUCCUGACCCAGGGAUCGAACCCACAUCUCUCAUGUUUCCUGCACUGUCAGGCAGGGUCUUUACCUCUAGUGCCACCUGGGAAACGCAAGAUAUAAAAUACCACUUACAUGAGGUAUUUUAGUUAAAUUCACAGAAUCAGAGCUGAAUGGUGGUGGCCAGGGGCUGGAGGAGGGGAAAUGCUAAUCAAUGGGCGAAAUGUUUCAACGAAGCAAGAUGAAGAAACUCUAGAGGUCUCUAUAACAACAAUCAAGAACACUGUAUUACACACUUAAAAUUUUAAGAGGGUAUGUUAAGUCUUCUUAAUCAAAAUAAAAAUUUUAAAAGAA